CCCGGAAUUUUUGGGUUAUUUAAUAUCUAAUUUAGAACUGGUACGGACAAGGGGAAUCCGACUGUUUAAUUAAAACAAGCAUUGUGAUGGUUUUGAAUAAAUGAUGACACAAUGUGAUUUCUGCUCAGUGCUCAGAAUGUCAAUAUGAAGAGAUUUAACCAAGCGCGGGUAAACAGCGGGAGUAACUAUGACUCUCUUAAGGUAGCCAAAUGCCUCGUCGUCCAAUUAGCGACGCGCAUGAAUGGAUUAAUGAGAUUCCCACUGUCCCUAAUUACUAUCUAGCGAAACCACAGCCAAGGGAACGGGCUUGGCAAAAUUAGCGGGGAAAGAAGACCCUGUUGAGCUUGACUUUAUUCAGAAUUUGUGAAAUGGUGCUCGAGGUAUAGAAUAGGUGGGAGUGUAACGAAAUUGAAAUACCACUACUUUUGACGUUGUUUUACUUAUUAAAUAAAAAACUGAUUGAUUAAUAAUCUUGAUUCUAGAAUUAACGAAUAUUACAUGUUGCUUCCAUGUGAGGUAACCUCUGAUUUACGGAAGUUUGUUUAAGACAUUUUCUGGUGGGGAGUUUGGCUGGGGCGGCACAUCUGUUAAAAGAUAACACAGGUGUCCAAAGUAUAACUCAAUGAGAACGGAAAUCUCAUGUAGAAUAAAAGGGUAAAAGUUAUAUUGAUUUUGAUUUUCAGUAAGAAUACAAACCGUGAAAGCGUGGCCUAUCGAUCCUUUAUUAAAUAAAAAUCUUAUGCUAGAGGUGUCAGAAAAGUUACCACAGGGAUAACUGGCUUGUGGCAGCCAAGAGUUCAAAUCGACGUUGCUUUUUGAUCCUUCGAUGUCGGCUCUUCCUAUCAUUGUGAAGCAGAAUUCACCAAGUGUUGGAUUGUUCACCCUUCAAAAGGGAACGUGAGCUGGGUUUAGACCGUCGUGAGACAGGUUAGUUUUACCCUACUAAUGAAGUAGGAUUAUUCUAAUAGUAAUUCAAUUCAGUACGAGAGGAACCAUUGAUUCAGAUAUUUGGUUUAUAAGAUUAUUUGAACAGAUAGAGUCUUGAAGCUAUCAUCUGUAGGAUUACAACUGAACGCCUCUAAGUUGGAAUCCAUGCUAAAACUAAGAAUAAUGUAUUUGAUCGUGAUAUUAAUUAAAAAAAGAUAGAACGAAAGUUCCUAAUUUAUACGCUAAGGGUUACUCAAUUUGAUUCUAGAUGAAAAUAGUUUCUUGUUGUACAUGCUCGAAUGAUAAUUUUAAAUAUAACGAUCGUUGAUCCUUUGU
rnacentral:rRNA from 1 species